rnacentral:rRNA from 1 species
UACGUAGGGUGCAAGCGUUAAUCGGAAUUACUGGGCGUAAAGCGUGCGCAGGCGGUUAUAUAAGACAGAUGUGAAAUCCCCGGGCUCAACCUGGGAACUGCAUUAGUGACUGUAUAGCUGGAGUGCGGCAGAGGGGGAUGGAAUUCCGCGUGUAGCAGUGAAAUGCGUAGAUAUGCGGAGGAACACCGAUGGCGAAGGCAAUCCCCUGGGCCUGCACUGACGCUCAUGCACGAAAGCGUGGGGAGCAAACAGG